rnacentral:lncRNA from 1 species
CUCCAUGGUCUAUUUAUACUAACAUGAAGCAGAAGAACUUGCUUGUUGCCAUAAGCUUCCCACUUACAUCCUUUGAUUGAGAAUGGACCUUCUUCCUCAACUGCACUUUGGCAACCAAACGCAUGCAUUGCCCCUGCACUUGUAUUAUUGUUUAUUUGGGUUGCUCUGUAGUCGGAAAAAUCUGACACUAAAGAGAGUAUAGAUUGAAAUGGUUAAAAUGUUCUCCACUGACCCAAAGUUGAGAUGCAAGGGGGAUGAUCUCCAGGGAUGGAGGGCCCAGACCACGUUGGUUGGAAGGAGAUCGCCAUGACGAACUGCAUGGAUUCUAGUCUUUGGCAUGGUCCCCUUGCGUUCAGAUGGUCACAUGUAACCCACAGGAAGUGAGAGGUGGAGGUGAUGAGGAAUGCAAACUCUUUGCAGGUCUCUCUGCAUUAAAAACCACUCUCACUUUUCAUCACCUAUCUUUAGUAUAAAUAGAGAAGUAAGUAGGAUGAAUGUUUCCAAAGGAGAAAAUAAUCUGCUUUCUUCAUUCUUUUCUCUUUUUCUUGAAUUCCUGAUCUAAACUUUCCCUUGUUUAUUUUGUUUCUGAGGGAGUUGUCUGCACAUAGGAAGAGAGAGUACGUCCCGAAGCUUGUGAUAUGAGACAAUGAAGUGGUUUCUUCCUCACAUGUAAGUGAUAGUUUGAUGGUUGCAAUCACUUUAUUGGUGACUUUACAUCAUAAUAGUUACAUGAACAGUCAUCUUUCCCAGAAGGCACUGUAAAUGGUCUAGAAAUGGAUAGGGCGGCUGCAUGCACCAAAUGAUCACCUGUAGGUCAUGGCUAUCUACAUCACGAAAGCUGUGAGGACGAGCCAUCCAAUCCUUCUCCUAGCCUCAUAUGAUGUACCAUCAGUUCAUCCUCGUAAUGAUUUAGCUGCUACCUUGAAUGCCUAUUGCUAGAAGGUGAUCCACACAAAGGAAAAGCUUAGACCGAAUUCCUUUUAUCACGGCUUGGCAUGAAAACACUGAUCGAAACUAUAUCAUAGAUUCUCUGCAUGCAUUGCUUAUCAAGAUUACUUCUUGUGAUAUAAACAGCUCUCACAAAGGGAUAUUGGUGUCAAGUUUCAUCACCGAAAUAUAUAUUUUGUCCGUGAGAGAAGAAACUUGUCACGAGUUAAACUCCUCAAACACACGGACACACACAAUGCCAUAGAGUGUCAGGUCAACACACUCCACCAUGCUCACAAGGAAGGAAGAAAACAAGGCAUGGUAGAAGAAAGCAAUGAUAAGCUCCAUGAUUGUUCCAGCCACAAGCCAGAAUGAGUGCUCCACCACCUAACGCUGCCAGAACAAAUCAUUGUCCUCGUGAAUCUAAGCUUGUGGGAUCGACAGUUCGGCCUUCUUGGCUUAUACUGCGUCAUAUAUUUCAGCCUCUGCUCAAUGAAUAGGAACACAAGCCAGUUGUGUUGCAUCUGUACAUGCGAGAUAUACUCCCAAGUGUAGAACUCAAGUUUCAAUCUUUUCUUUUAGGUUCUGUUGUUUGAUGUAUAAACAUAAACUUGGUUCAACCAAUGGUACAUUGUUUGUAUUAGGCCCUCGAAUCGAAAAA